rnacentral:lncRNA from 13 species
UGAAUCUACUUCCUGUAAGAAUUUGUGUUAUAUUUUUACUUGUUUUCUCCAUCAAUUAGACUUCAGGUGAGGAAAAAAUACAAACUGUUACUAAAUUUCUCUGUUACACAGCUAAGUUCAAUGCUCAGCUCAGCUAUGUCUGAACUGCGUGAUCAACAAAGGCAGCAUUAAGGUCCUCUGGUAUUUAGAGGGUAUUUUAUCUGUCAAUGAAGGAAGAAAGGGAAAAAGAAAUAGUAUCUUAAUUUUUAAAAAGCUGUCUUUUCCUCGCUCCACCUGAUUCAUCACCUAGGUAUAUUGUGCUUAAUAAUGAGACUAUUUUCUUUAGAAAGCAGAAGCAGCAUUGCUAUAUUUUUGUCAAAACACAAUGACUUUUUUAUUUCUAUUACACAGGCUUCAGCUGCCCAUUUGGAACAUCACUGCAGAGAGCAGAUAUCUUCUAUAAUUCACCAUAACACCAGCCAUCAGCAGAAUUACAGCCAUAUGCCCACACAUAGCCUGGCAGUUGUUCAGAAGAGGGAAAAAAAUACUGGUGCUUAACAGAAGAAGUAAAAUUGAUGGACUAUCAGAAGCCAGCUACACUGACUUUGGAUUAAUAUCUCUGCUUUCUCUCUAAUUGCCAUUAGCAAUGGCAGUUGGUCCCAACCCCAGUCCGUCAUCUCUUUGUAAGGUGGCACUUCCAGCAAGAUGUCAGAUUUUCCUCUUCUAUAAUGCUGGAAAACUGGGAUGCAGGCAGUCCUCAAGCUCUCCAAUUGAGCAGAAACAAAGCUUGCAUCUUUGACUGGAUUGUAACAGCCAGACAGUGACUUUUCUUUUCUUGUAUGUUAUUUUUUGAUCCUGGCAAAUUAGCUACAUGCAAUAGAGAAUAAUAUUAUCAGGAGAUCAUUUGAUUUUGGCUACUAUAAGGUGUGGAAGUCACACAGUAUGUUAAAAGCUGAACAGUGAAAAUGAUCAUUAGAAUUAUUUUAAACAGAUUAAGCUAUUGCUGAUCACUUGUUCUCUCUGAAUUGAGCAAAGCUUUAGUAACUGUUUGAAAGAGCAAAGGACUUCAAAGUACUCCAUCUUUUCCUUGAGUAACUUAAAUGAAAUCUGAGCUGGAAGAUAAGGAUGUUGCAAAAAAGACACCUCUUCAUAUAAGCAGAAAAGACUUGAAUGGGUUAAGCCAUAUCUGGCUGAGUCCCAACAGACAUAAAAAUCACCUGUGCCUGCUCUGAAAUAAAUCAGUGUCCUUUUCUGCUGCUGCCGUUGUCUGGAAAUAAUGCAAAUGCAAUGGGCCUGCAGUGACAUUGUGCCGCACUCGAAGGAUACACAUAAUAAAUUGUCCCCUAAUACUGUUAAAGAGACAUUUUCGUCUUACUCAGUAGCUUUUGAGGUUGAACUGUGCUACUUACUCGUU